CAGGUAACAGUGGAGAGGAAAAACCUCCAGAACCAGGAAAGCCGUCAUCUUCAAACAACAGUGGCACUUCACAAAGAGGUCACUGUUACUCCAAAAACUGACUCCAGACUCUUCAACCAUGUUGGGAUCAACAGGUACAGCAGCCUGGUAAAUAUGCUGUUACACAGAUGAUGGUUGAAGAUGAUUCAGGAGCUUUGGCUGUGCUGGAAGCCUCCAAAUCUCUGGUCCUUGGUGCUACUUCUCAUCCUGCUUCUGGGACUGAUUCUUCUUUUUUAUGAUUGGAGACAUUCGAACCACAGAAUAUCAGGAAAAACCUAAAUGUGCACACAUUGACACACAGUCUGCAACAGCUGGAUCCAGAGUCUGUAAUCACCUGUCAAACCUGGAAGGAGAAUUUUACAGAGCGCACAGUGAUCGAUAUUUUCCGAUCUGUCUGCCCGUAUCAGCUUCAAAUAAAGAGCAGAGAGCAGGAGACAAGAUGGCACAG